rnacentral:rRNA from 1 species
UACAGAGGUGACAAACGUUGUCCGGAAUUAUUGGGCGUAAAGGGCGCGUCGGUGGUUGAGUAAGUCAGGUGUGAAAGCUCUGGGCUUAACCCAGGAAUUGCAUCUGAUACUGCUCGGCUUGAGUACGGUAGAGGAGGGUGGAAUUCCCAGUGUAGCGGUGAAAUGCGUAGAUAUUGGGAGGAACACCGGUGGCGAAGGCGGCCCUCUGGACCGAAACUGACACUGAAGCGCGAAAGCUAGGGGAGCAAACGGG